CUUUUAAACUCUUCCUUAAGAGGCAAAAAAGUGUGUUGCUGUGUGUGUAUGUGAUUUAAUUAAAUUAAGAUUUUUUUUCUUUUCAGGGACCUUCCCAAAAUGUUAGAAGAAGGGUAGAAAAACAUUUGCAACUUGUGUUUCACUUGGUGAACGAGUCAGGAACUGUUUGUGCACAAAUAAUCCAACAUCAGCCUAAGUUUUUCGGCUGUGUUUUCGAAAGAACAAGAAAAGAUUUUGCUUCCAGUUCCUGCACAUUACAUUUCCUAUUCAGCACCACUUUCUUUUCAUUCUUUCUGUCAUUAAUCUGUUCAUUUUGGAAGAAUAAGUAAUUAAACAGUUUUGAAAAAUUUUUGUGUGCUUGUGUAUGUGUGAUAUGUUGUUGGAGCAUCUACAAGAGCAGUAAAAAUACUUGUCCAAACCCUUGCUAUGCAUGUCAUGAAUGUUUUGAAGGCAGGAAACCAUACAGUCCUAUUUUAAGAAAUUCUAUUUAUUUUUAAGUCAAAUAAAUUUUUUCCUCCUCUUUAAAGUACCUGACUUUAAAAGCAAGAGAAGUUUUACGGCAUUGAUUUAUAGAAAAAAACUACAACAACAAUGCUUCCAGUAGAUUGAGGUUUGAAUACCACAGCUCUUGGAGACAUAGAGAUCUAGGGCUUAAUUUUGAGUUAACUUAUGUUUUCACCUACUUAUUUGCUGACUUCUUAAACAUGUUAAUUUUUCAUGUAUUUCUAUUUCCUUCAGUAUAAUUACAUCAUCUCCUUAACCAGGAGAAUGGCUGUCUGCUCCUCAGAUCUGUAUCAUUAAUGAAGAUCUUUGUGUGUUGUGUUUCCUUGGUACAGAAAGCUUCAGGGCAGGAGUGACAGAAGAGAAAUGCCUACUUGGUUCCAGGCAAUACUAAGUUAUAUGGCAGCAUUUAAAAUAGAAGCAGAAUGCACCAGAUACUCAAGAAACAAAAUAAAUGAAGUGAGCAUCUGUUACAACACAUUUAGAGCAAAGAAAGACUUCUGCUGGACGUCCUGGCAGCAAGCUGUGCAAGUUGAAGCGGAAUCUGAUUGAGGAUGCUUCCAUAGCAUGGCCAAUGAGUGGAGUGAAUCCGUGCCAGGGAUCUGAACCUGUGAACCCGGCCUCCAAACUAGAACGCGG
rnacentral:lncRNA from 1 species